CACCUGGAUGGCACCACUGGCUGGGUUUAAUCAUUAUUUGGUGUCCAGCUUCCUUUCAUAUACUAUGACUCUUCUGUGCUUUUACAAUGUUGUGUCUACUUGAUCCACAGCAGAUGGUUAUGCAUAGUGGGGCAUUUUUGGAUUCCUGUUCAUCCCUUUCUCAAAGUCCUUUCCCAGUCAGGGGUGAAGGUGUUGAGGGGAUGAGGAAGCCCUGCAGCUGUGUGCACCCACAGGGAGGACACUGAGACAUCGCCAACCCCCUCUGGAACAUUAAGACUUCAAUGGCAGAAACUGAGCCCAUCUCUUAAUUUAGCAGAAAGAGAAACAAAUGCCACCAUUCUGACCAUCUCGAACUGGACACAGACACUGAAUGAACUGAAUCAGCUGCACUCAGGCCCCUGGGUGCUCUGGUUGGGAAGUGGCUUAAGUGGGUGUCCUGUGUCUCUUACAAACCAGGGAUCACAUGUCUGAGAUUUAGGGGGUCAGUUGUAACAACGCAUUUGGAGGUGCCCAGAAUCGUUCCUUAUGCAGAAACUCCCUGAGGAAGAACCAUGACAGGCUCCUUUAACUCAAUAAAUUGAGUUUCUUUUGGAUUCCA